rnacentral:rRNA from 1 species
CAGUAGCCACGGGAAUACGGAGGGGGCUAGCGUUGUUCGGAAUUACUGGGCGUAAAGCGCACGCAGGCGGUUUGUUAAGUCAGAUGUGAAAUCCCCGAGCUUAACUUGGGAGCUGCAUUUGAAACUGGCAAGCUAGAGUCUUGUAGAGGGGGGUAGAAUUCCAGGUGUAGCGGUGAAAUGCGUAGAGAUCUGGAGGAAUACCGGUGGCGAAGGCGGCCCCCUGGACAAAGACUGACGCUCAGGUGCGAAAGCGUGGGGAGCAAACAGGAUUAGAUACCCCUGUAGUCCCUGUCUCUUAUAC